rnacentral:rRNA from 1 species
GACUCCUACGGGACGCAGCAGUGAGGAAUAUUGGUCAAUGGCCGAGAGGCUGAACCAGCCACGUCGCGUGAGGGAUGACGGCCCUACGGGUUGUAAACCUCUUUUGCCGGGGAGCAAAGAGCGGGACGCGUCCCGCCUCGAGAGUACCCGGAGAAAAAGCAUCGGCUAACUCCGUGCCAGCAGCCGCGGUAAUACGGAGGAUGCGAGCGUUAUCCGGAUUUUUUGGGUUUAAAGGGUGCGCAGGCGGAAGC